UUAAAUGAAGCUUUAAUAGCACUUAACUGUUAAUUAAGAGGAGCCAAAUAAUAGUAGGCCAUUUAAU
rnacentral:tRNA from 1 species